rnacentral:lncRNA from 1 species
AGACACCAGAGCUGUCCCUCUCUCGGCUUGCACUAAGGAGGAGGUCACGUGAGCACACAGUGAGAAGGCGGAGGACCAUCUGCAAGCAGGAAGAGAGCCCUCGCUAGAACCCCCCACGGUGGCAUCUGAUAGUGGACUUCUAGCUUCCAGAACUGAACUCAUAAAUGUCACAUCAGGCUGCCUCUUGGUGAAUUUUUAAUCAACAGGGAGAAUUUCAGCUACAAAUAGACCAAGAAUCAAGAGGCCCGCUAUUGAUCAGUCAAAGUGGCACUUAUGAACCUGAGGUUGAAGCAGUUUGGAUAAAAGGAUUCUGGGCUUUCUAUGGCCCCAGAGACAUCUUUUUCCAUCAAGUCCAGACUUGCUGAUCAGUGCAGCUGAGAACAUGUUGAAUUUGAUGUGCCUGUGGAUAUUUGAGUCUGGAACAUUGAAGACAAGUUUGGUCUGGAGAUGUAGACUGGGGAUAUCUCAGCACACAGAUGAUAACUGAAAUGAUGGAGCGGAUGAUAUAACCUGGAGAGAAUCUGGUGUGGGAAGAGUCUUCCCUGAGGUGGCCGAAAGAUGUAAUUCUUACU